GACCGCGUAGCUCAGUUGGAAGAGCAUUGGGCUUGUAUUCCAAAGGUCGUAGUUUCGAAUCCCACCGUGGCCG
rnacentral:tRNA from 1 species